rnacentral:lncRNA from 1 species
GGACGACGAAAACACGGCGGCGCGUGAGAGCCACGAGUCUUCUGAAGCGUCGGAGAUGAACGGAGCAGUGGAGAUCCGACGACACAACCCGCCGCCAAUCGACGUGACGGUUCUAGAAAUCGGGACGGCGGAUAAGGAGGUCCUAGCCGGGUACUGCCCUGUAUCCAAUGUGAUCGAGCCUUGCACUUGGAAGGUUCUGCCGGCGCGUGAGGACUCUGCGAAG